AGAGUUUGAUCCUGGCUCAGGAUGAACGCUGGCGGCGUGCUUAACACAUGCAAGUCGAACGAACCUUCGGGUUAGUGGCGGACGGGUGAGUAACGCGUGGGAAUCUGCCCUCAGGAGGGGGAUAACGGCCGGAAACGGCCGCUAAUACCCCAUAUGCCGAGAGGUGAAACGAAUUUCGCCUGAGGAUGAGCCCGCGUCUGAUUAGCUAGUUGGUGUGGUAAUGGCUCACCAAGGCAUCGAUCAGUAGCUGGUCUGAGAGGAUGAUCAGCCACACUGGGACUGAGACACGGCCCAGACUCCUACGGGAGGCAGCAGUGGGGAAUUUUCCGCAAUGGGCGCAAGCCUGACGGAGCAACGCCGCGUGAGGGAUGAAGGCCUCUGGGCUGUAAACCUCUUUUCUCAAGGAAGAAGAUCUGACGGUACUUGAGGAAUAAGCCACGGCUAAUUCCGUGGCCAGCAGCCGCGGUAAUACGGGAGUGGCAAGCGUUAUCCGGAAUUAUUGGGCGUAAAGCGUCCGCAGGCGGCCUUGAAAGUCUGUUGUUAAAACGUGGAGCUCAACUCCAUUUCGGCAAUGGAAACUACAAGGCUAGAGUGUGGUAGGGGCAGAGGGAAUUCCCGGUGUAGCGGUGAAAUGCGUAGAUAUCGGGAAGAACACCAGUGGCGAAGGCGCUCUGCUGGGCCAUAACUGACGCUCAUGGACGAAAGCCAGGGGAGCGAAAGGGAUUAGAUACCCCUGUAGUCCUGGCCGUAAACGAUGAACACUAGGUGUCGGGGGAAUCGACCCCCUCGGUGUCGUAGCCAACGCGUUAAGUGUUCCGCCUGGGGAGUACGCACGCAAGUGUGAAACUCAAAGGAAUUGACGGGGGCCCGCACAAGCGGUGGAGUAUGUGGUUUAAUUCGAUGCAACGCGAAGAACCUUACCAGGGUUUGACAUCCUGCGAAUCCCUUGGAAACGAGGGAGUGCCUUCGGGAGCGCAGUGACAGGUGGUGCAUGGCUGUCGUCAGCUCGUGUCGUGAGAUGUUGGGUUAAGUCCCGCAACGAGCGCAACCCACGUCUUUAGUUGCCAGCAUUCAGUUGGGCACUCUAGAGAGACCGCCGGUGAUAAACCGGAGGAAGGUGUGGAUGACGUCAAGUCAUCAUGCCCCUUACAUCCUGGGCUACACACGUACUACAAUGCUACGGACAAAGGGCAGCAAACUCGCGAGAGCUAGCAAAUCCCAUAAACCGUGGCUCAGUUCAGAUCGUAGGCUGCAACUCGCCUACGUGAAGGAGGAAUCGCUAGUAAUCGCAGGUCAGCAUACUGCGGUGAAUACGUUCCCGGGCCUUGUACACACCGCCCGUCACACCAUGGAAGUUGGCCAUGCCCGAAGUCGUUACUCCAACCCUUGUGGAGGAGGACGCCGAAGGUGGGGCUGAUGACUGGGGUGAAGUCGUAACAAGGUAGCCGUACCGGAAGGUGCGGCUGGAUCACCUCCUU
rnacentral:rRNA from 1 species